GGGAAACCCUACAUCCAGUUUCUGGAGCCUCUGGAGGCUGGUCGCCCCACAAAGCUGACCUGCACCGUGUCACUGGAAUCUGGUGGGGGACACCCUCUCCUGUUCUCCUGGGUGGGGGAGGCAGUUGACAUCAUGGACCCAGGGACCCUCCACUCCUCGGAGCUCACCCUCACCCCGAGGCCCCAGGACCACGGCUCCAACCUCACCUGUCAGGUGACACUCCAAGGAUCUCAGGGGACCCUGGAGAGAACCGUGCGGCUCAAUGUCUCCUAUGCUCCACAGUUGGUGAUCACGAGAAUAUCUCAGGAAAGCUUCACAGAUCUGAAUGGCACAUCACUGCCCAUCCUGGAGGGCCAGUUCCUGCGCCUGGUCUGUGUGGCCGACAGCAACCCCCCUGCCAGGCUGAGCUGGCUCUGGGAGGGGAAACCCCUGAGCCCGUCCCAGCGCUCAGACNCCCAUCUCCAGCACAGGGGUCUUGGAGAUACCCCGCGUGGGGGUCGGGGAUGGAGGAGAAGUCACCUGCCGAGCUCAGCACCCGCUGGGCUCCCAGCAAGUUUCCUUCAGCCUCUCUGUGCAGAAAGGCCCCCCUUCCUGCAGCUGUGAGACUGAGGAGCCGCAGGGCUCCUGGCCCCUGGUCGUCACCCUGAUCAGAGGGGCCCUCAUGGGGGCUGGCUUCCUCCUCACCUAUGGGCUCACCUGGACCUACUACACCAGGUGUGCUGGCCACUCGGGUGCUGGGCUGAGGGGUGUGGCCGCGCCUCGCUCCCUGUCAUGAGGAGAUUCACCUGAGGAUGCAGAGCCCAGAGGACAGACGUGGGGACAUCACUGUCUGCUUCUCCCUGGAAACUCUUACCUCCAACCCUGUGUCGUUUGCAUCCACGAGCCUUUUUUUGUAGAGAUGACUUGUGACAGUAGGAAGAGUCAAGACCAUUGAAAGGAGACAUUCUGACUUACCUCGCCUAGUAUGAGGUUACUCAUGGUUUUGCAAGUAUCAAUAAUUCAUUGUUGGUUUUGCUUGGUUUUUGUCUUGAAAAUAGUAUUUUACAUAUGACUAUUCCUCAGUUAUGUGUGGACUCUAAAAUA